rnacentral:lncRNA from 1 species
GCACCAGCCACAUGAGGUGAUCGCGCGACCAUUUGUGACUGGCGACCAAAAAGUGACUGAAGGCGACAGAUGCUCACACC